GGUUCAAUGGUGUAGUUGGUUAUCACGUUCGUCUCACAGCCGCUGGGUUGUUAGCAGUCCUUCGGGAUCACGAGAGGUCUUCGGUUCGAGUCCGGAUUGAACCA